AUGAACGCUGGCGGCGUGCCUAAUGCCUGCCAGUCGAGCGAACAGAUGAGGAGCUUGCUCCUCUGACGUUAGCGGCGGACGGGUGAGUAACACGUGGAUAACCUACCUAUAAGACUGGGAUAACUUCGGGAAACCGGAGCUAAUACCGGAUAAUAUAUUGAACCGCAUGGUUCAAUAGUGAAAGACGGUUUUGCUGUCACUUAUAGAUGGAUCCGCGCCGCAUUAGCUAGUUGGUAAGGUAACGGCUUACCAAGGCAACGAUGCGUAGCCGACCUGAGAGGGUGAUCGGCCACACUGGAACUGAGACACGGUCCAGACUCCUACGGGAGGCAGCAGUAGGGAAUCUUCCGCAAUGGGCGAAAGCCUGACGGAGCAACGCCGCGUGAGUGAUGAAGGUCUUCGGAUCGUAAAACUCUGUUAUUUGGGAAGAACAAAUGUGUAAGUAACUAUGCACGUCUUGACGGUACCUAAUCAGAAAGCCACGGCUAACUACGUG
rnacentral:rRNA from 1 species